UACAGAGGUCUCAAGCGUUGUUCGGAUUCAUUGGGCGUAAAGGGCGUGUAGGUGGCGCCGUAAGUCGGGUGUGAAAUUUCGGAGCUUAACUCCGAAACUGCAUUCGAUACUGCCGUGCUUGAGGACUGGAGAGGAGACUGGAAUUUACGGUGUAGCGGUGAAAUGCGUAGAUAUCGUAAGGAAGACCAGUGGCGAAGGCGGGUCUCUGGACAGUACCUGACGCUGAGGCACGAAGGUCAGGGGAGCAAACGGG
rnacentral:rRNA from 1 species